GGAGGAUCGCUUGAGGAUGCCUGGGAGAUGGAGGUUGCAGUGAGCUGAGAUCACACCACUGCACUCCAGCCUGGGCCACAGAGCAG
rnacentral:miRNA from 1 species